rnacentral:rRNA from 1 species
GGAAUUGCUGUAAUGGCAGGUCAGCAUACUGCCGUGAAUACGUUCCCGGGCCCUUGUACACACCGCCCGUCACACCAUGAGAGUUGGAAAUACCCGAAGCCUGUGAGCUAACUUAAAGAGGCAGCAGUCGAAGGUAGAGCCAAUGAUUGGGGUGAAGUCGUAACAAGGUACC